GCGAGGGGACAGACAAGAAGCAGAUUCUGCAAUGCGUGCGGUGCUUCAAGGCUGAGAAAAGCGAUGCUGGAAUUCUGCCUUCUGCACAGCUACUAUAGGGCCAAAAGGAGGAAACUUCAGCAGAAAAUGAUUAGCAGAAGAGCAUAAUUAAAGGGAAGAAGUGAUUUACAAGGAUGGUGACAAUCGAUAGUAAAGGAAGAAAACAGCAGAAAUGAUUGC